rnacentral:rRNA from 1 species
UGGGGAAUAUUGGACAAUGGGCGAAAGCCUGAUCCAGCCAUGCCGCGUGUGUGAAGAGGGUCUUCGGAUUGUAAAGCACUUUAAGUUGGGAGGAAGGGCCAUUACCUAAUACGUGAUGGUUUUGACGUUACCGACAGAAUAAGCACCGGCUAACUCUGUGCCAGCAGCCGCGGUAAUACAGAGGGUGCAAGCGUUAAUCGGAAUUACUGGGCGUAAAGCGCGCGUAGGUGGUUUGUUAAGUUGGAUGUGAAAUCCCCGGGCUCAACCUGGGAACUGCAUUCAAAACUGACUGACUAGAGUAUGGUAGAGGGUGGUGGAAUUUCCUGUGUAGCGGUGAAAUGCGUAGAUAUAGGAAGGAACACCAGUGGCGAAGGCGACCACCUGGACUGAUACUGACACUGAGGUGCGAAAGCGUGGGGAGCAAACAGGAUUAGAUACCCCCGUAGUCCCUGAGCGGGCUGGCAAGGCGCAU